rnacentral:rRNA from 1 species
GAUGAACGCUGGCGGCGUGCCUAAUACAUGCAAGUCGAGCGAACAGAUGAGGAGCUUGCUCCUCUGACGUUAGCGGCGGACGGGUGAGUAACACGUGGAUAACCUACCUAUAAGACUGGGAUAACUUCGGGAAACCGGAGCUAAUACCGGAUAAUAUAUUGAACCGCAUGGUUCAAUAGAAAGAGAGGUUUGUUGUCACAUUUAUAUAUGUCUCCGCGCCGUAUUAGAUAGGUGGUAAGGAAACGGCUUACCAAGGCAACGACGCGUAGCCGACCUGAGAGGGUGAUCGGCCACACUGGAACGGAGACACGGUCCAGACUCCUACGGGAGGCAGCAGUAGGGAAUCUUCCGCAAUGGGCGAAAGCCUGACGGAGCAACGCCGCGUGAGUGAUGAAGGUCUUCGGAUCGUAAAACUCUGUUAUUAGGGAAGAACAAAUGUGUAAGUAACUAUGCACGUCUUGACGGUACCUAAUCAGAAAGCCACGGCUAACUACGUG